UACGGGGGGGGCAAGCGUUGUUCGGAAUUACUGGGCGUAAAGGGCUCGUAGGCGGCCAACUAAGUCAGACGUGAAAUCCCUCGGCUUAACCGGGGAACUGCGUCUGAUACUGGAUGGCUUGAGUUUGGGAGAGGGAUGCGGAAUUCCAGGUGUAGCGGUGAAAUGCGUAGAUAUCUGGAGGAACACCGGUGGGGAAGGCGGCAUCCUGGACUAACACUGACGCUGAGGAGCGAAAGCCAGGGGAGCAAACGGG
rnacentral:rRNA from 1 species